AUGAACGCUAGCGGCAGGCUUAACACAUGCAAGUCGAGGGGUAUAGGUUUUCGGACCUAGAGACCGGCGCACGGGUGCGUAACGCGUAUGCAAUCUACCUUUUACAGAGGGAUAGCCCAGAGAAAUUUGGAUUAAUACCUCAUAGUAUUAUUGAAUGGCAUCAUUUAGUAAUUAAAGUCACAACGGUAAAAGAUGAGCAUGCGUCCCAUUAGCUAGUUGGUAAGGUAACGGCUUACCAAGGCAACGAUGGGUAGGGGUCCUGAGAGGGAGAUCCCCCACACUGGUACUGAGACACGGACCAGACUCCUACGGGAGGCAGCAGUGAGGAAUAUUGGUCAAUGGGCGCAAGCCUGAACCAGCCAUGCCGCGUGCAGGAUGACGGUCCUAUGGAUUGUAAACUGCUUUUGUACAGGAAGAAACAGUUCUACGUGUAGAACCUUGACGGUACUGUAAGAAUAAGGAUCGGCUAACUCCGU
rnacentral:rRNA from 1 species